GAGCUCACAUUUUCAUCAUUCAAGCAAUCUACCAUUUUCAUAAAGGAAAACAACUCCCAAAAAAAUAGAAAAAACUCCUUAAAAUGAGACAAUUCUCAGUUAUUUUCGGGCUUCUACUCAUCGUCGCAAUUGCGACUCUUAAUCCAACCGAGGCCGCACCUCAAUUGGGGACUUGCCGUUGGGGUGGACGUGCCGCUUGUGUGGCGUCAUGUUAUGCGCAAAAUUGUGCGACCGGAUACUGUAAUGGAGAGACGUGCACUUGCUCCAGAUGCGGAAGUGGUAGCGCUCCCGUCCCCUGGGGAAAAUAAUUAUGGAGACGAGACAAAAACUAUGGACAACUGAAUUCGGCACAUUUUUCUUUACAAAAUAUGAGCAAUUUGAAUACUUAUUUUAAAUAAAUAAUUUUAUAAGUGAAACAAACACA